rnacentral:tRNA from 1 species
GGCAAGAUACCCAAGAUGGUGAAGGGGGCUGGUUGCUAACUAGCUAGACCUUAAAAGGUGCGGGGGUUCGAGUCCCUCUCUUGCCGCCA